rnacentral:lncRNA from 1 species
UUCCUGUCCCUCCAGAGCCUGGACACCCCGUCCAAUCCGGUUCACAGUGAAGCACUACUGCAGGGGUAGAGGAAAGAGCCUGGCCGGCAGCUUCUCCAGGGGAAGGGCCUGUGCGCACACCCCUCCAGGAACAGGGUGAGCAGGAAGUACCGGCUGUGAUGCUGCCGUCAUGGGGUCAGAAAUUGGAAGGAUGAAGAAAUCUGCCAUCUGAAAGCUCACCUUUCAGACGUAUUUUCUUUACUCGUAUCCCAGGAACAUCCAUUUUAAGGAACUGAUCUUUGGAGGAAAAAACAAAAAACAAAAACAAAAAAAGAAAAAAAAAAGCUAAGUUAUAAGUGAACUGUCUGGCUGCACUGUGUGUCACUUUUGCUUAUUGUUAUGUGAACUUGGAAACUAAGGUUACGUGUAUGCAUAAAAGUUCUAAAUGAAAGGGUGUGGUUUCCAUCACUUUGGUACUGCCCAUCAUUUGCACUGGGGUCACUGUGGAUUGGGCAGGAGAGGCCACUGUGCCUGCCGGGUGUUGCUUCUCUUCUGUGUCUGUUUAAUCCGAGGCAGUACCUGGAGGGCCAGACCACCGCUCUAUGAAAGCGGGGAGUGGCAAGGGCAGGCGUGAGUUAGACUGGGUGAGUUGCUUUGUUGUUGGCACUUGGUUUCUGUGGAGCUUGGGGUAGAUGCAGAGGGGGCUGCCCUGUGUCCUGCUUAGUCCUAGCGGGCAGCUGCAGGCCUCCUGGCCAGAGGGAAGAUGUGGUUCUGCAGGGCCCCGAGGCAGUUGUUGACAGCUCUGUUGAUAAUGUGCUAGACCCUAGAGCUAUCUAGCACAGCCACAGUCUUGCCUUCUUGGCUCUUUCCAUCUCUCAGUGCUUGUUAGUGCUUGAGGCUUGAAGUUCAUCUCUCCUACGGAAGCGCCCUGUUUUAUCCUAAAGUGAAUGAGAGGCUUCUGGCCAGUGGCUGCCAGGGUCUUCCUGCCUUCGAUGAUGUUUGCUUCCUCAGAGCAGAAGGGCUGCUUUUCCAGAGAAAGUGCAGAGCUAAAGGAGUUAGAUGGUGAGGCAGCAGGUGGUCGGCAGGCAUUCUGGUACCCAGUUGUAGCCAGGCUUUGGUUAUCCUCUCCCAGCUGCAUGUCUCAUGUCUCUUAGAUUUGCAUACAGCCUCAUACAGUGCAAAGGAAGAUGUGAUCUCUAAACAAAAAGGAAUAAAAACCUAAAAUGAUGAUAUUCUACUCAGGGUAAAACAAACAAACAAACCCCUUCCACCAAAAAGCCUGAAGCUUGCAGUCAGUUUACCUCAUUUGGAAUGUUUUGUUGAGUUGUGUUACAGGAAUUUUUUUUUAUUAGUGUAUAAAAUUAUACCCAUCUCCUUGCCUUUGGCUCCUGGUUAUUGCCUCUUCAAACAUAAGUACAAUCUAUAGGAGAAUGGGGGUGUGGCUGUCCUUCGGCUGUUUACUGUAGCCAUCAGUGCUUGGCAAGGUCAGAAGGUAGCUGGGUCUGGGACUGGAGGAGGCGUCUGUCUCCAGCAAAGAGCAGGGUCUGGUGCCCCAACAGGACAACCAGAGAGCUGUGUAGGUUGCCCUCCUGCAGUCUGGACCUUUCCUCAGAGCCAGCUAGGAUGGUGACCCUUGUCUUUAGGCAAGGUAUUUAGGGACAAUUGGCCAAGAGGGUCAUGGCAGCACUAUUGAGAAAUGGCACAGGUACAAGCAGCUGAUCUCCCAUUCCAGGAUUGGACCAGGAGUAUGAAUUUCUGAUGUUCUACACCCCCACACCCCACACACACCCAAAAAAGGUUGAUGGAUUUGGGCAACCAUAGACCUCAGCAGGAAUCUGCACGGUGUGAGGAGCCCCCUGUUGGCGCCGUGGUUAGUCCUUCUGGGAACCAGCUGCUUGGGUGUAGAUUGUCCUCAGCUGUCUCUAGGACUUGCACUCACAGGAAGCUUUGCACUCGGGCCCUCACUCGUUUCUCUUCUCUGAGGAGAGCAGUGAAUGGGACCCCCAAAGUGAGCUUGUAACAAGGGGUAGUAAUGGCCCUCCCACUCACUCUGCCUAUGACACCCUGGGAGCUGACAUAGGAAACAGGAGCCUAGGGAGGAUGUAUGGAAGGUUUCAAUGGUUUAAAUAUGGCUUCUUGGUUUGCUAGGGCUGUGCUCUUAAUGGUCCAUUCCUAGGUUAUUGGCUUUUCACCCUCCACAGUUGGCAUGGUGAAGAAACAUUUGAGCAGUGUUGAGGCUGAAGUGUUGCUAGGUGAAGGAGCUAAGUGAUUUUAGAACACAAGAGACUCUCAGAACCUAAGAGGUUUUGGAAAGUGAGGACUCUGCUUGCAGUUGGUGGUUGUGGAGAGCCAAUGUGUGAAACAGGGUAGACAGACGCUUCGGCCAUGCUUGUACCAGUGGUCCUUCCCCCAUCUUUCCACAAGCCCAGCCUCUAAUGCUAAGGACCUUGGAGAAGAGGGAACCUCCUGGCUAAACUAGAACCACGAAGACCCUUCAUGGAGUGGUUUCGCCAGGGAAUGACCUUAGGGUAAGGCCAAGAAGAGUGAAUUCUGGCAAGUCGAUUAAGCCUUUCCUUCCACGACAGCCAUCACCACUGUCACCCUGUAGACGAGACUUGGGUUACCACUAGCAUCUCCAGUUUAGCCUCUUCCAAGAGACUAGUUGGCAGCAGGGCUGAUGGACCUAGGAGGUGGUCAGGUGAUCUUGGUCCCACCCAAUUGCCUUAUAAAUGUGGUCCUUCCCAGGCAGGAGGGUAAGGCUGAGAGAAGAGAGCUCAGUGCCCUUGGGCAGCACUAGUUUGGCCACAGGAGUACUGUCCUCUGUUGACUUUGGUUCAUAAGAUGAUGGUACAAUGCCAAGGAGAGGCUUGGGGUGUGGAGAGCCCUCUAGGUAGAAGGCAAUGGGACUCCCCUUCCCUUUCAGAGUCAGUGGAUGGGAAAAGGUUGUUUUCCGGAUCAAGGCAGUGGGCUGAUGGGGUAAUGGAGGUGCCUGAGUUUUGCCUGAGGCUUUGUAUUAUGCUGAAUGUGUCCAGAGGGACAAAUUUGCAGAACCUCAUAUUGAUAUUUUAAAUAAUAAAAUAAAAAGCACUUUAGGUUACUUUUAUCUUUAACCCAAUUGCUGCAAUUUCUGUUGUGUAUGUAUAUAUACAUAUAUAUACUUUCCCCAAAGUUUUAUUUUUUGCUCAGAAUAAAAGUUAAGUUGAGGUGUAAAAAGAGCACUUACUUGGGUGCAAUAUAUGCGUAGCUUGACAGUCGCUAUCCCACGUGGCCCUGGCCUGGCCUUCUGCUCCAUCAGCCCUGUGCUGAAGCUGGCCACAGGGAACCACUAUCAGCAUCUCAGCAGCUGCUCAAUCUAUGCAAGCCUUCCUGUGUGUCCGGGGCGCCCCCCUCAGGCCCUCCAAGGAACUGCUGCAGCUGUUUUCUUCUGACUGUUGAGGCCCCUUUUCAACUGCUUCUCCGCCGUCCCCUGCUCUUUCCCCUCUUCCCCAGAACAAAAUGAUUCCUGAAAGGAAGGGUCGGUUGUUCCUAGGUAGAAACCUGGCACCUUUAGACUUUCAUAUUUGUAAACACAUCCAUUGAAGGGAAGCGUCUCCAGUGUCACUGAGACUGUUGGUGUGUGGAAGUGCACUACUGUCGCGAAUUUACAGCUUUUUCACAGCCCCAAUCAGAAAUAUGUCGGAAGGCUCUCUGCACCACCUCUGUUGGCUCAAAAGCAGAAUGACUUCCACGCUUCAUCAAAUCCAUUUAGGAAGCCGUUAAUGACCUCCCUCACCGGCUCCCACUUACUCUUAAAUUCCCAACUGUAGAGGCAUUUUAAAUAUACUCCAGCCAGUGCAAGAUUUUCACAGAUGAAGUUUGCAAGUGGUUGUGCUGUGACACAGAUGGGAAAUUGUCCAUCUCUCCUCUGAGGCAGAAGGGGAUGAGCCAUAAAACUGGAUCAUACAUAUUUCUGAUUGGUCUGUUUCUUGCAUAUUCUUGGAUCUUGUUUCUUAUGCCCCUGCUCUUGGGGAGGUUGGUCAUUAGCCCAGGCAUCUCUCACUGUUCUGGCGGCUUGAGGGCUUCUCAGUCUGCGUUGAAAAUGCAAGUUUAAUUGGAUCUGUCAAAUUAUAUUAUAGUACAACCUUUUUCUAGAACUGGCGUGUAAAAACCAUACACUGCUCCUUGGUGGUGGCUCACUGGGACAAAAAUAGGUGAUAAUGUCAUGUCACUUUCUCAAUUCAAUGCAAUUUCUACUUUUUUUUUUUUUAAACAGGUAAUGUUUUCAUAAAACUUUUUUCCACCAAAAUCUGGGGUGUUUAUUGUAGUAUCCCCGUGUCCCUCGAGGUGCCAAGUCAGGGGCUUGCCCGCCCUUGCCGCGGGUGUUCUCAGGCUUCCCAAGGGCUGUGUGAGUCAACAGCCUGCAUCUUUGGUUGUGCUUUGGAGAAAAUGUCACUGAGGUUGGAGUCCCAGGUAGCUAGUCCCUUUUCCUGGGAAUUCCCUGUUGCAGUUUGGGGAAGGUGGCUGGAAAACGGGCUUUUCUGGUUGCCUGGCUCAGAUCUAGCCAGAAAAGGCCACAAACUCUUUUCUAACACAAACUAAUCAUUGGCCAGUGGUCUUGGUGACAAGUUUUUAAGUCCCAAAUAGUUUUAUUUGAAUUAUGUAAAAGUACCAAGUUUAUUUUAAAUGUAAAACAUGGGAACAACGGACUUCCACUGAGCGAUAUGAAAACGUUACAGGUUCAGUACUUCCAAAGGAAGAAACCUCCAACCCCUAAAAAGAAUAAAUACGAAUUUGUAUUUUUGAAGAAUGUGAAAUAAUAGUGUUUGCUUAAUUGCUCAUUUUGUAUAAACUUAAUAUUGUACUUUAAAAUAUCUGCUAUGAAGUGAAAAUUUAACUUUUUGGAAUUGAAAAAGCAAUAUUAAAUACUAAUGAAAUCUUAAUUAAAUGCUUAUUU